UGAACAGGCAGGCAAAGAGCUGGGCACGGGGCCCCGACACCACCGCCACCAGCGGCACCAUCUUCAGGCAGGAUCAGGCUGGAAGGGAAGAGACAGGGCUGUGAGUGCCAAGUCUCUACUAUACACAUAACAUUUUAAUUAUGGAUACUGGCUUGGCAUGGUGGCUCACAUCUGUAAUCCCAGCACUUUAGGAGGCGGAGAUGGGAGGAUCACCUGAGCCCAGGAGUUUGAGACCAGCAUGGACAACAUGAGGAAACCCAUCAAAAAAAAAUUAGCCAGGCAUGAUGGUGCACACCUGUAGUCCCAGCUACUAGAGGCUGAAGUGGAAGGAUCGCCUGAGCCUGGGAGGUCAAGUCUGCAGUGAUCCAUAAUGUCACCAUUGUACUCCAGCCUGAGGACAAAGAAAGACCCUGUCUCGAAAUUGAUUGAGUGCCUCCUUCAAAGAUCGGAAUGAAUGCUUUGAUGUGACUGCAGUCUAACUGGAGAAGAAAGCCCUGUGGAUUGAAAGACAAGGCAGCUGACUGGGCAUCCCCUACUUUCAUCACCGGCCCCUGGUUCCAGACCCAGUCUGGACAAGUCUUUGGGACUUCAUACCUUUCCACUGCAGCCCUUCCUGGACAAACAAUACAGUCUGCCUGUGUCAAAAGCUUGCUAAUCUUACAUCACGUGACGUGGUUUGAGAGCAGCUAGGGCACCCGGCAGAGUUCAAACUGAGCUGCUGGCUAAGUAAGAAUUAUUCAGAUCGUUCUUAAUGAAAGAUCCACCAAGCCAAGGGUUGUCAACAACCCUUCAGCUAUUUUUGCUUUUGAGGACACCGUGUGUCUUUGACUUCCAACUGUUUUUUCUCAAGCCUAGGGUAGGCUGGGCCCACUCUGCUUUGAGUUUCAAUAACCAGAGGGCCAACCUUUAACCGAUCACCUUUGCAGAACACUUCCAAAAUCAAAGAGAAAAACAGACAACAAAGAGUCUCCAGCUCUUGUCGCCCAUCCUGUUCCUCCUGCCAGACCCAGCCCAAGCUUACUUACUAUGAGAUGUCAGUACUGAUCUCUAUAGCUUCCAGUCUCAGGACACGAGCGAGCACUACGUACAGUACAGGUCAGGCUUACACCUGGUGCCCAGGUGGAGGGACUGCUGGAAAACUCCUCCUCCUCAGCUAGAUCCUCCCACUUGGGCUUUCUGGGAGUAUUUAAUUAAGUCAGCCCUAAUGCUAUCAUCAGUUAUUCAUGCCUCUUACGUAAAUAUUUUCUUGUUUCAAAUCCAGAAGAUAGAAUUUGGUAGGAAAACU